rnacentral:rRNA from 1 species
AGUACGAGAGGACCGGGAUGGACGGACCGCUGGUGUACCUGUUGGCUUGCCAGAGCCACGGCAGGGUAGCCAAGUCCGGCAGGGAUAAACGCUGAAGGCAUCUAAGCGUGAAGCCCCCCUCAAGAUGAGAUAUCCCACGGCGGAGCGAUCUGCUGGUAAGACCCCUUGGAGAGUACGAGGUAGAUAGGCCUGGGGUGUAAGCGCAGCAAUGCGUUAAGCUGACAGGUACUAAUCGGUCGAGGGCUUGACCACAA